AAAAUUUUUUUUAAAAAUUGUUUUCAAUGUGUAAAAUUUAAAGGGACUCGAUGAAAGUUCCUAUUAAGUACGGAUUAGUAAAAAGUGUGUAUCGGGUACUCGAUGGAACUACGUACGGUCCUGUGUAUUCGCGCGGUCCGAUCACGCUGUGGCGCUGGAGUGGGGAGGGCCCGUCAACUAUGGCCGGCGCAGGCCAGGAAAGAAAUGUGGCAGCGCGUUUCGUUUAGUACGGACUUAGACUGCUCUAAGCGGCGGUCGCGUACGCCGGUGUCCGAUAAUAAAGACGGCGACGAGGACGACGAAGAUAAUAAGAUACGCGAGGAAGAAUAUUACGAAGUUGGCAGCGAGGAGACAGCGACGAGGAGUAUCAAAAGAAAGAAAGAAAGAAGAAGAAGAGGAAGGAUCGUUGGAGAGGGGGAAGAAGAAGAAGGAAGAAAAGGGAAAACGUGAUAACUCGCUGGUAGAUAGAGAGAGAGAGAGACAGAUAGAAAGAGAGAGAGAGAAAGACACAGUGUGUUCGUCGCUGGACCGUGGAACACUCUCGGUCUUCUUCUUCUUCUUCUUUCUUCGUCUGGCGUUGACGACACACGCGUGUGCCCCUGCUUCUCCUUUAAGACGAUACUUACGCCUACGUGCGUGAACCGGAUGUUCGUUGAAUGAGAAUAAAACAUUUUUACGAAUAUUGUCGAGAAUAUACCAUAAAGAAUAAAUGGAACUCGUUAUAUGGUAAGCUACGUGAAAAGCACGUGUUUUCUCCUCCCCUCCACCCCACUUCUCUCUCUCUCUCUCUCUUGCACAUUCUCUUUCUCUCUCUAUCUCUCUUUCUAUCUAUCUCUCUCUCUCUCUCCUCGAGAAAAAGAGAGAGAGAGAGAGAGAGAAAGAAAGAAAGAGAGCGAGAACGAGACGAGUGCGCCCGCGUGUGCGCGCGCGCACCCUACAAGUUUCGCGCGAAAACGAGCCGCGGAUAGCUUCACGGUGGUCGCGCGAUAUUUCAAAACAGUCCUCGCGUGUGUGCCGCGCGGCUCGUGUCGGUGUGAAUCGAGAAGAAGGAGUAAUACGAGAGAGUGAGAGUGAGAUAGUAAGAGACAGAUAGAGGGUGAUAGAGGGAGACAGAGUGAGAGAAAAAGAGAGGGAGAGAGAGAGAGAGAGAAAGAGUGGGAGGGAGAAAGGGAGAGAAAGAGAGAGAGAGAGAGUGAGAAAAGAAUAGGAAGAAGGAGAAGGGUUAGCGUAAAGAAGAAGAGGUAGUAGAGGGUUGAGGGGGGGGGCUUGUGCACAAGUCGGUCGCAGUGGAAGGGAGGAAGAAAAGAGUGGUGCAGAAGAAGAAGGAAGAAGAAGAAGAAGAAAACGAAGAAGAAGAAAAAUUGUAAUAUAGUUACGAUACAUACGAAAAAGACAAGAGAAGAAAAAAAAAAAAGGAAAAAAGAAAAGUGAGAACAAUUAAUUCACGACAGUUUUGUGAUAUAUAUAUAUAUAUAUAUAUAUAUAUAUAUAUAUAUAUAUAUAUAAAAUCGUUUGACCAU